UUUCCUUUGAUGUGUUGCUUGAGAUAAUUGGAGAUCACAUAAGAUUUUUAUAGCAUAAAUAAAAUGAUUAGGAGCAUUAUAAGCAUAACUCCAUCAACCUAUUCUCACAUUUUAAAUAGGUAAUAUGGUGUAGCUUCUCCAUUGAGUCACUCCAUGGAAUCAUGAGUUCCAAGUGGGUAAUUUUUUGUAAGAAAAAAUAGCAAUGCAAGAUGAAACAAAAUUUUAAUUACAAUGCUAAAUUGUGCCUUGACCCAAAUCCUACAAAGAGUGUUAAUUGAUUCAGAUGGUAUGAAAGUUGUCAUGGAAGUCAAAAUUGAUUAAGUAGUGUUUAUAAACAACUCACCCACUAAAUCAACUAGCCCCAAAAAUGUAUGGCACUAAAUUGCAUCACCUGUAUUCAAUUAUUUGAGAAAUGACAAGAUUGAAUGAGUAGGAGGAUGUAAGGUCCAUUAAGAAACCUUUGGUCAUAAGAUAUGGGUGAAUAUUAUAGAA
rfam:Picea glauca, whole genome shotgun sequence.